UAAUACAUGCAAGUAGAACGCUGAAGGAAGGAGCUUGCUCUUUCCGGAUGAGUUGCGAACGGGUGAGUAACGCGUAGGUAACCUGCCUGGUAGCGGGGGAUAACUAUUGGAAACGAUAGCUAAUACCGCAUAACAGUAGAUAUCGCAUGAUAUGUGCUUAAAAGGUGCAAUUGCACCACUACCAGAUGGACCUGCGUUGUAUUAGCUAGUUGGUGAGGUAACGGCUCACCAAGGCGACGAUACAUAGCCGACCUGAGAGGGUGAUCGGCCACACUGGGACUGAGACACGGCCCAGACUCCUACGGGAGGCAGCAGUAGGGAAUCUUCGGCAAUGGACGGAAGUCUGACCGAGCAACGCCGCGUGAGUGAAGAAGGUUUUCGGAUCGUAAAGCUCUGUUGUAAGAGAAGAACGAGUGUGAGAGUGGAAAGUUCACACUGUGACGGUAUCUUACCAGAAAGGGACGGCUAACUACGUGCCAGCAGCCGCGGUAAUACGUAGGUCCCGAGCGUUGUCCGGAUUUAUUGGGCGUAAAGCGAGCGCAGGCGGUUAGAUAAGUCUGAAGUUAAAGGCUGUGGCUUAACCAUAGUACGCUUUGGAAACUGUUUAACUUGAGUGCAAGAGGGGAGAGUGGAAUUCCAUGUGUAGCGGUGAAAUGCGUAGAUAUAUGGAGGAACACCGGUGGCGAAAGCGGCUCUCUGGCUUGUAACUGACGCUGAGGCUCGAAAGCGUGGGGAGCAAACAGGAUUAGAUANCCUGGUAGUCCACGCCGUAAACGAUGAGUGCUAGGUGUUAGACCCUU
rnacentral:rRNA from 1 species